GCAUCCAGGGGUCGAUCGGCGCCCGCGAGGCGGUCAAGUCGGGCGACGCGGACGCCAUGUACGAGUACACCGGCACCUCCUGGAUC
rnacentral:tRNA from 1 species